GCACCAAUCACUGCAAAAACUGGUCCCUGCAGGCAAUAGAUAGCCCCAACCAACAAGUUCAAACUGUGAAGGAAAUAACUUGAUACUUUUUGCAUUGCAGUUAAUUAGGUUUGAAAUGUGAGGUCUACUUAGAAGAGAGAAAGGAACAAGGAGGAGAAAUGUUGCGCACCGUCCCACCAACAGUCGGUUCUGGUGUGUGUAGAAAGCUUAUCAGGUUUCCAGAGAUCCCACCGAGCAAGUAUAUUAAGAAAAAUGUAAACGAUCCAUAAUGUCUGCAAACUUUAGGUCCGAAAGAAAGAAGCCCCCAACAACCAAGAGCUACAUGAAAAAUUCCAAAAUGCUGUGUUGCCAAAUCAAACAUUAACGAAAUCAAAUGUUAUUAUGGUGGAUGAAGCAAAAAGAAAAACUAAGAUCAUGCAAAUGAAAUGAAUGAUAAACAUUUCAUAAAACAAUUGAUAUUUAUUUGACAACAAUGUAUGAAUCCAAUUCAUGGCA